rnacentral:rRNA from 1 species
UUAUUUUACGGCCGCGGUACUCUGACCGUGCAAAGGUAGCAUAAUCAUUUGCCUUAUAAUUGAAGGCUAGUAUGAAUGGUUUGACAAGAAUGUAGCUGUCUCUUUAUAAUUUCAUAGAAUUUUAUUUUUAGGUGAAGAAGCCUGAAUUUAAUUAAAAGACAAGAAGACCCUAUCGAGCUUGAAAAAAGUUAAUAGAAUUUAAAAUUAAUAUUAAUAAAAAGUUGUCUAUUAAAUAUUUUGGUUGGGGCGACUGAGGAACAUAAAAAGCUUCCUUUAAAAUAAAAUUUAAGUCGUACUGGAAUUGAUCCAAAAAAUUUUGAUUAAAGAAAUUAGUUACCGUAGGGAUAACAGCAUUAUCUUUUUUAAGAGCUCAUAUCGAAAAAAAGGUUUGUGACCUCGAUGUUGGACCAGAAUAUCCUAAAGGUGCAGCAGUCUUUAAGGGUUGGUCUGUUCGACCAUUAAAAUUCUACGUGA